rnacentral:tRNA from 1 species
GAGGGCAUAGCUCAAGAGGUAGAGCUCAUGCUUAGCGUACACAAGGUCCUGGGUUCAAUCCCCAGUGCCUCCC